rnacentral:sRNA from 1 species
UUUAAGAUUAAUGUGUCAAAAAAAGAUGAAUGUGUCUUCUGCAAACUGCUUUGUUGUUCAAAAUAAAUUGAGCUAAUUAUUAAUAUCACAGAUAACAAGUAGCUUUUGAAACAAUUUCUUGAAUGAUAAAUUCAAUAACUCAAUUCUGGACUAAAGGAAAUCAUCAAGUCUUAAGUUCAGCAGAGCAACUUCUACCAUCCCUCAUUUCUAUACUUACUGGGUUCAGUGUACUAUUUAAAUCUUUUACUAAAGUAGUUAAUAAGUAGAAAAAUACAGAGAGAAAUUGUUCUCUGACUAGAGAAAUAAGUGGCAAAGAGCACAAACUGAAUGGUAAUGUAAAUGCUGCAGGUUAUUAUGUUUGGAUGCUCUUCCAAGAGUCACAUGUCCAAACCAUCCAGAUGCGAUUUUAGUGGAGGACUACCGAGCUGGUGAUAUGAUCUGUCCUGAAUGUGGCUUGGUUGUAGGUGACCGGGUUAUUGAUGUGGGAUCUGAAUGGCGAACUUUCAGCAAUGACAAAGCAACAAAAGAUCCAUCUCGAGUUGGAGAUUCUCAGAAUCCUCUUCUGAGUGAUGGAGAUUUGUCUACCAUGAUUG